CACUUUAGGAUAAUAAAACAAUCAGCGUGUGAUUUACGUGAAAGGCACUGGUUUCCUUCUAUGACACUUUUUAGAGCAAUAGUUCUUAUUUAUCUCUGUGACAUUGAUGCGUUCUUUGGUAUUUCACUUUGAGACAAGCUUAUCAUUUCAACAGGAAUAUCUGCAGCUAAACCAGCAUUACAUUAGGUAUUUAAUUUCCUAGCUGGGAUGUGAUGAAGGCUUUCUCUGGAUGGUCCAUCAUUAAUAAGUGUUCCUUUCAGAAAAUAGAUUCCUUGCAAAAUGGUACUAAGGAAAUGUUUUGAGGUGCUGGGAAGAGAGGGAGUAGUUGGCACUGCCUUUGUUCCUUCUUUGCACAAAGACAUUGUUCGCUUGGAUAUGCCAGACAAAACCCUUUAAUAAAUGUUGCAUUUCUGUUUUAAAUUUUCCCUUCCUUCUUUAGUAUUUUUGUGCUUUUCAUUUCUCCCCUUAAAUGUUUAUAGUACUUAACAUGCAAGUCUUUUUAAUAUGUUUUUUUUUUUUUUUCCCCAUCUAGCAAAUGAAAACUACAAACAAGUAGCCAUGUGGAUUCUGUAUCACAUAAGCAUGGACGAUCGCUUCAAAUCGAUGUUUGCCUACACAGACUGUAUCCCACAGGCUGAACAAUCCCAGCUCCCUCAGCCGCUCCUCAUAGGACUUGGAGGUGUCAAGAUGCAUCUCGCUGUGUGCACAUCUUUUCCGCACUUACAGCAGAGCUCGCACUGACACCCACAGGUAAGAAUGGGAACAGGCAUGAUGCUGCUGAGUCAGUAGUGAGCCACCUACUCUUCAGGCAGCCUGACUGUUUUUUUUGUGUUUUGAUGGUCCCCAGAAAAAGGUCGGGUGACAUAUUUUUUGUCAGUACUGAUGAGCCUUGAGCUACAUUGAAUUGGUGAAAAAUACAGGGGACCCUGUGGAAGAUUGGGAAUACUUGAAAGAGAUGAAAACUUGUGUGUAGUAGAUCCUUAGGAAACCUCAUGGAAAAUAUUUCCUUUGCUGUUUUAGAAGCUAUUCUUUUCUGAUCGCAUUGGGUAUCAAAAUUUCAGUGUCUCCUGUGUUACAGGAUAUGAACUGGAAACCAGCCAAGCAGUGUUGCAUUGCUGCAUGACAAUUCCUUUUCCAACUGCAGGCGUGUGCAACAGUUGGAGACAUGAGGGCUAUAAAGGGCUCUUCACUGAUCUUUCAGACUACACUUUUUCAUAACUUUGUCUCCAGCCAUGUUCUCUGACCCAUGCACAGACGCUGUUUCAUGUUUUUAGGGAGAUAUUCUGUGUGUACUUUCUUGAUUCGGGGCUGUAGCAUGUUUUUUAACAAACAUUGGACACUCUCUAACCAAUCUCUCUGGGUCCUGAUGAGGCUUGGCAUUGAGAAAGCCUGCGUUGCAUAAAUGUAGAAAGCUCUUUGGUAGCUCUUUCAGAAUUGCACCAUUGUAUUUUCUUUCCUGCCAAACAUGUUUUUAAUAUCAAAUACAUCUAGAAUGGGAAGUUGCCAUGGAAAAAUUUCAGAAUGUUUCUGGUCAUUAUUUCAUGACAAAAAUUGUGAUGUUUUUCCAAAUACAGGAGGGUUUUGGAGAAAAGAGAGGGGAGAACUGGUGGGAAUAAUUAGUGUAUGUUACCAAAUGCUCUUGCAACAUCCUACUGGCUACUUUUUCUGUCACAGAAGUAACUUUGCAAAGACAUUUGCAUGAUACAAGGGACCUGCUAUGUUCUCAACAGUCACCUGCCAA
rnacentral:lncRNA from 1 species